rnacentral:rRNA from 1 species
GAGUUUGAUCAUGGCUCAGGAUGAACGCUAGCGGGAGGCUUAACACAUGCAAGUCGAGGGGCAGCACGAUGUAGCAAUACGUUGGUGGCGACCGGCGCACGGGUGAGUAACGCGUAUGUAACCUACCUUGUACAGGGGGAUAGCCCGGAGAAAUUCGGAUUAAUACCCCAUAAUGAUAUCUGGAGGCAUCUUUAGAUAUUUAAAGUUUCGACGGUACGAGAUGGGCAUGCGUGACAUUAGCUAGUUGGUAAGGUAACGGCUUACCAAGGCUACGAUGUCUAGGGGUCCUGAGAGGGUGAUCCCCCACACUGGUACUGAGACACGGACCAGACUCCUACGGGAGGCAGCAGUGAGGAAUAUUGGUCAAUGGGCGUAAGCCUGAACCAGCCAUCCCGCGUGAAGGAAGAAGGCGCUAUGCGUCGUAAACUUCUUUUCCGGAGGAAUAAAAUUUUGUACGCGUACAGAACUGAAGGUACUCCGGGAAUAAGCAUCGGCUAACUCCGUGCCAGCAGCCGCGGUAAUACGGAGGAUGCGAGCGUUAUCCGGAUUUAUUGGGUUU